rnacentral:rRNA from 1 species
UACGUAGGGGGCGAGCGUUGUCCGGAGUUACUGGGCGUGAAGCGCACGCAGGCGGUCUGCUAAGUUUGGAGUGACAGUUGGUGGCUUAACUGCCAAAGUGCUUCGAAAACUGACAGACUUGAGGGCUUCAGAGGGACACGGAAUUCCGGGUGGAGUGGUGAAAUGCGUAGAGAUCCGGAGGAACACCAAAGGCGAAGGCAGUGUCCUGGGGAGUACCUGACGCUCAGGUGCGAAAGCCAGGGGAGCGAACGGG